AGAGUUUGAUCCUGGCUCAGAACGAACGCUGGCGGCGUGGAUAAGACAUGCAAGUCGAACGAGAGAAUUGCUAGCUUGCUAAUAAUUCUCUAGUGGCGCACGGGUGAGUAACACGUGAGUAACCUGCCCCCGAGAGCGGGAUAGCCCUGGGAAACUGGGAUUAAUACCGCAUAGUAUCGAAAGAUUAAAGCAGCAAUGCGCUUGGGGAUGGGCUCGCGGCCUAUUAGUUAGUUGGUGAGGUAACGGCUCACCAAGGCGAUGACGGGUAGCCGGUCUGAGAGGAUGUCCGGCCACACUGGAACUGAGACACGGUCCAGACACCUACGGGUGGCAGCAGUCGAGAAUCAUUCACAAUGGGGGAAACCCUGAUGGUGCGACGCCGCGUGGGGGAAUGAAGGUCUUCGGAUUGUAAACCCCUGUCAUGUGGGAGCAAAUUAAAAAGAUAGUACCACAAGAGGAAGAGACGGCUAACUCUGUGCCAGCAGCCGCGGUAAUACAGAGGUCUCAAGCGUUGUUCGGAAUCACUGGGCGUAAAGCGUGCGUAGGCUGUUUCGUAAGUCGUGUGUGAAAGGCGCGGGCUCAACCCGCGGACGGCACAUGAUACUGCGAGACUAGAGUAAUGGAGGGGGAACCGGAAUUCUCGGUGUAGCAGUGAAAUGCGUAGAUAUCGAGAGGAACACUCGUGGCGAAGGCGGGUUCCUGGACAUUAACUGACGCUGAGGCACGAAGGCCAGGGGAGCGAAAGGGAUUAGAUACCCCUGUAGUCCUGGCAGUAAACGGUGCACGCUUGGUGUGCGGGGAAUCGACCCCCUGCGUGCCGGAGCUAACGCGUUAAGCGUGCCGCCUGGGGAGUACGGUCGCAAGAUUAAAACUCAAAGAAAUUGACGGGGACCCGCACAAGCGGUGGAGUAUGUGGCUUAAUUCGAUGCAACGCGAAGAACCUUACCUGGGCUUGACAUGUAAUGAACAACAUGUGAAAGCAUGCGACUCUUCGGAGGCGUUACACAGGUGCUGCAUGGCCGUCGUCAGCUCGUGUCGUGAGAUGUUUGGUUAAGUCCAGCAACGAGCGCAACCCCUGUUGCCAGUUACCAGCACGUGAAGGUGGGGACUCUGGCGAGACUGCCCAGAUCAACUGGGAGGGAGGUGGGGACGACGUCAGGUCAGUAUGGCCCUUAUGCCCAGGGCUGCACACGUACUACAAUGCCCAGUACAGAGGGGGCCGAAGCCGCGAGGCGGAGGAAAUCCUAAAAACUGGGCCCAGUUCGGACUGUAGGCUGCAACCCGCCUACACGAAGCCGGAAUCGCUAGUAAUGGCGCAUCAGCUACGGCGCCGUGAAUACGAAAGCGGGUCUUGCACUCACCGCCCGUCA
rnacentral:rRNA from 1 species